CCUACGAGAGGCUGCAGUAGGGAAUCUUCCACAAUGGGCGAAAGCCUGAUGGAGCAACACCGCGUGAGUGAAGAAGGGUUUCGGCUCGUAAAGCUCUGUUGUUGGAGAAGAAAGUGCGUGAGAGUAACUGUUCACGCAGUGACGGUAUCAAAUCAGAAAGUCACGGCUAACUACGUGCCAGCAGCCGUGGUAAUACGUAGGUGGCAAGCGUUCUCCGGAUUUUUUGGGCGUAAAGCGAGACCAGGCGGUUGAAUAGGUCUGAUGUGAAAGCCUUCGGCUUAACCGAAGAAGUGCAUCGGAAAUCGGGCGACUUGAGUGCAGAAGAGGACAGUGGAACUCCAUGUGGAGCGGUGGAAUGCGUAGAGAUAUGGAAGAACACCAGUGGCGAAGGCGGCUGUCUGGUCUGCAACUGACGCGGAGGCUCGAAAGCAUGGGUAGCGAACAGGAUUAGAUACCCUAGUAGUC
rnacentral:rRNA from 1 species